rnacentral:rRNA from 1 species
GACGAACGCUGGCGGCGUGCUAACCCAUGCCAGUCGCACGGAAAGGCCCUGCUUUUGUGGGGUGCUCGAGUGGCGAACGGGUGAGUAACACGUGAGUAACCUGCCCUUGACUUUGGGAUAACUUCAGGAAACUGGGGCUAAUACCGGAUAGGAGCUCCUGCUGCAUGGUGGGGGUUGGAAAGUUUCGGCGGUUGGGGAUGGACUCGCGGCUUAUCAGCUUGUUGGUGGGGUAGUGGCUUACCAAGGCUUUGACGGGUAGCCGGCCUGAGAGGGUGACCGGCCACAUUGGGACUGAGAUACGGCCCAGACUCCUACGGGAGGCAGCAGUGGGGAAUAUUGCACAAUGGGCGGAAGCCUGAUGCAGCAACGCCGCGUGCGGGAUGACGGCCUUCGGGUUGUAAACCGCUUUCGCCUGUGACGAAGCGUGAGUGACGGUAAUGGGUAAAGAAGCACCGGCUAACUACGUG